UACGUAGGGGGCAAGCGUUGUCCGGAUUUAUUGGGCGUAAAGAGCGUGUAGGCGGUUUGGUAGGUCCGUUGUGAAAACUCGAGGCUCAACCUCGAGACGCCGAUGGAAACCAUCAGACUAGAGUCCGGAAGAGGAGAGUGGAAUUCCUGGUGUAGCGGUGAAAUGCGUAGAUAUCAGGAGGAAUACCGGUGGUGUAGACGGCUCUCUGGACCGCCACUGACGCUGAGACACGAAAGCGUGGGUAGCAAACAGG
rnacentral:rRNA from 1 species